GCCCCGGUAGCUCAGCCUGGUUGGAGCGUCGCCUUGGUAAGGCGAAAGUCGCGGGUUCAAAUCCCGCCCGGGGCU
rnacentral:tRNA from 1 species